rfam:Gossypium arboreum cultivar AKA8401 contig_1214_3, whole genome shotgun sequence.
AAUCCAUGGUGAGGGAACUUUUUCAAUAGAUCUUUAUAUCUCUCCCGUGCAUCAUAAAGUGUUUCUAAAUCCAUCUGUACAAAAAAAGAGAUAUCAUUCCUUAAUUU